rnacentral:lncRNA from 1 species
ACCCAGGGUGCUUAUUCACUAAGCCACACCCCAACCCCUUUCUUCCCCCUUUAAUUUUUGUUUUGUUUUUUUGUUUCAUUUUGAGACAGGGUCUCACUGAGUUGCUGAAGGCCUUGCCAAGUCACUGAGGCUGCCUUUGAAUUCAUGGUCCUCCUGCCUCGGCCUCUCCAGGCACUGGAUCUCCAGCAGCAGCCACACGCCCGGCUAUGCUAUUUUGUUAUAGCAGCUCAAACAGACAGAACUGGGAGCUCUGGGGGAAGGAGGCCACUUGAAACCAAGGUCUCAGGGGACUGCUGACGCUCGUCCUGUGCCGUGGCCUGCAGAGGUGUUAGCAUGAAUUUAUGUCAGAUUUCCAAAAGUUGCAACCUCCCGUCUGUUCAAACGACACUGUAGUUUCCCUUCUUU